rnacentral:lncRNA from 1 species
CUGGAACUGGGAUGAUCCUUCAGAGCUAGACCUUUCUUCCUAUUCAUCUAACAGUGAUUGGAUAUGGGGAGCUGUCUAUAGGAAGCGGGGGUGAUCUUGGGUGAGAAUGCUCUCUUCUGCUGAGAACAACUGCCAGAGGACUCAACUGAGCACCUUUAACCAUUAGCUGAGGCUUCUUAGCAGGUCUAGUGGCACUUGAAUCUUUAGCACAACAGGGAGCCUCUGUGCCCAGGGUUCAGUGGCUUCCAGGAAUUCUUCCCAGAAUAAACCUCAACAUUCUGCAGUCUUCAUGGGUGCUGGCGCAAGUUGCUUUUCAAGUUCUUCAUACUCUACUGACCUCAGACUUCUUCUCAGCCCGAGGAAAACAGCUUCCUCUUCCUCCUGGCCAUUCACCAAGACACACCAUUCUCUUCUCUCCUUGUCCAGGGCGCUUAGCAUGGUCACUUCCAAAGUUUGUGCAUUUUCAAAAGAAAAUGAAGACAUCCUUCCAUGCUGUUGCAAACAUGCCCUGAGGCAAGAAAUCACAAAGGCUCUUUGGAAAACAGGAAUAAGUGACUGCAGUCUGCCAUAGCAACUCAAGUAAUGCAACUUUACUCAGCAUGGACCGUCACUUUCUCCAGACUUCUAAGAGAUGCCAUAGCAGAAAAUUUAUGCCUUUCCCUGCAGUCCUUGUCAAGUGUUAAAUCCCAUGGCCUUAUAUCCUGAGAGGAUGGCUCUAAAUCAAUAAACUCUCCUUUAUCUA